rnacentral:rRNA from 1 species
UACGUAGGGACCAAGCGUUGUUCGGAUUUACUGGGCGUAAAGGGCGCGUAGGCGGCAUGACAAGUCACUUGUGAAAUCUUCGGGCUUAACCCGGAACGGCCAAGUGAUACUGUCGCGCUAGAGUGCAGAAGGGGCAAUCGGAAUUCUCGGUGUAGCGGUGAAAUGCGUAGAUAUCGAGAGGAACACCAGAGGUGAAGACGGGUUGCUGGGCUGACACUGACGCUGAGGCGCGAAAGCUAGGGUAGCAAACGGG